GAGACAGGUGAUAGGGAUAGGAGACGGGUGAUAGGGAUAGGAGACAGGUGAUAGGGAUAGGAGACGGGUGAUAGGGAUAGGAGAUAGGUGAUAGGGAUAGGAGAUGGGUGAUAGGGAUAGGAGACGGGCGAUAGGAGACAGGUGAUAGGGAUAGGAGACGGGUGAUAGGGAUAGGAGACGGGCGAUAGGAGACAGGUGAUAGGGAUAGGAGACGGGUGAUAGGGAUAGGAGACGGGCGAUAGGAGACAGGUGAUAGGGAUAGGAGACAGGUGAUAGGGAUAGGAGACGGGCGAUAGGAGACAGGUGAUAGGGAUAGGAGACAGG
ensembl:lncRNA